CGCUUCUGAAUGACAUCGCUUGAGAAGCCAGUGCUAACGCUUAUUUAUAACACCAGGACAUUAUUUUCACUUUAUAAUUUAAUGUUUCUAAAUUAUAGACGCAAUCCUAUUAAAUCGAAAAGAACAUGUUGUUGUCAUGUGUGUUAAAAAAACGGAGUUUUAGGAGUUGGCUACUCCGAAUUUUCAACGGCCAUUUUGGUUACUGGAAAACUGAUCCUAUGUAGUUGGUAGACGCUUGUCUGAUGGAUAAUUGCCGUGGGUGUCAAUGUCUUUUGCUGCUUCACCUAUUUUUUCACCCCACCAUCCAACUUCCACAAGAUCACCAUGUGACGUCCCAUCUCUAGUGGUCCCAAAGAAAAGAAACAAUGGCAAUAUUAAAGGAAAUGUCAAUCUACCCAUGUUGACAUUUAUUUUAAAAGAUUGCAACAUAAUUAUUUUACCUUAUUUAAAAACAGUUUGCUACAUAUAUGACAUUGUCCCACAACGCAUUUUUUUUUACAUUGCUAUAUUCUAAUAUUCUAGUAAUGUAUUAAAACUGCCAAAGCUAUAUGAAAAAUCCAUUAGAUAUGUAACCAUAUAUUAUUGGGCUUGUGGUAUUUUUCGGGCUCACAAAUUGUGAACUUUUAAGAAAAACUUAUCCAAAAGACCAUAGAAUUUUUAGCAUUUUUGUUAUCACUUGAUAUGAACAGAAAUACAGCCUUAUUUUUUAUUUACCUAUCAAAACUAUAUAUAUAUACUGUACGUGGGAGUUCACUUAUUUUAGUGGAUUAUAUCUAUACUAUAAUCGCGUUUGUAACGUGUCCGUCGCCUAGGGUUGCCACCUUCAAUACAAAAAAAUAAGGGACGCCUGCCGCAGCGGGGGCCACACCCCUCUGGACCACGAUGAUGAUCACAGGACCGAUGGCAAUGACAUGCCAGUAGUAAAUCACAACUUAAAGGGACACUCUAAUCAAAAUUAAACUUUCAUUAUUGAGAUAGAGCAUGCAAUUUUAAACAACUUCCCAAUUUACUUCCAUUAACAAAAUGUGAACACAAAAAAAAAUAAUUAAACUUUGAGUCACCAGCU